rnacentral:rRNA from 1 species
CACGUAGGGGCCAAGCGUUGUCCGGAUUUAUUGGGCGUAAAGAGCUCGUAGGCGGUUCAGCAAGUCGGGUGUGAAAACUCUGGCUCAACCCAGAGACGCCACCCGAUACUGCUGUGACUAGAGUCCGGUAGGGGAGUGGGGAAUUCCUGGUGUAGCGGUGAAAUGCACAGAUAUCAGGAGGAACACCGGUGGCGAAGGCGCCACUCUGGGCCGGCACUGACGCUGAGGAGCGAAAGCGUGGGUAGCAAACAGG